rnacentral:rRNA from 1 species
GGUUGCGAUCAUACCAGCACUAAUGCACCGGAUCCCAUCAGAACUCCGCAGCUAAGCGUGCUUGGGCGAGAGUAGUACUAGGAUGGGUGACCCCCUGGGAAGUCCUCGUGUUGCAACCC